GGAAAAAACGGAGGGCAAGAAGCUGAAAAGGAAAAAGAUUGGGUGAGGAAUUCGACGGAGUGGAGAACAAGAGGCAAAAGGCUGCUAAAGAGGAAGUGGAAGAGGAAAAGGUUGCUGGAGAGGAAGAGGACAACCAUUAUUAGAAUGACGUUCUCAGUGUAGAAGAGACUCUACUGUCCGAAAACCUAUUCCAUAAAACCUUUAUAGUCGCCGAUCCACACGAGGUUUCUGAGGAGAUCGACAUUGAGAAUCUCACUCUGAGUGAGGAAAUGAAUGAGGAAACUCAGAGGGUUUUACGCGAAAUGGAGCAGGAAGAGGAGGAAAAAGCAGACGGCAAGAAGCUGAAUAAGAAAGAGAGAUUGGGUGAGGAGUUGGAAGGAGUGGAGAACAAGAGGCAAAAGGUUGCUGAAGAUGAAAAGGUUGCUGAAGAGGAAGAGGAAGAGGACAACCAUUAAAGGAAUGACAUUCUUAGUGUACGUAGUAGAGACUCUACUAUCCGAAAACCUAUUCCAUAACACCUCUACAGUCGCCGGUGAAGUUCUUUCAUCCUAAUUUGGUUUCUCUAUUAUACAAUAGUUUGUUAAGUUUAGGAUUUAACAAAAAAAAAAUUUUGUUUUGUUUUAGUAUAUCCACACAAGGUUUAUGAGGAUAUCGACAUUGAAAAUCUCACUCUGAGUGAGAAAAUAAAUGAGGAACUCGGAGGGUUUUCUGUGAGAUAGAGCAGGAAGAGGAGGAAAAAGUGGAGGGCAAGAAGUUGAAAAGGAAAGAGAGAUUGGGUGAGGAGUUCCACUCCAAGAGGCAAAAGGAUGCUGAAGAGGAAGAGGAAGAGUUAAAUGUGAGACAGUUUUCGUGUAUGUUGCAUCUUUGUCAAAUUGUCUAGGGUUAGACAUAGUUAGAUGUGAAUCCUCGAGCAAUAGGAAUAUUAACAAGAAUAUCUUGAGUGGUCUUGUUGUCAUCAUCAUUAAUAGUGAUACCCCUCUAUCUUAUCCAAUGUCGGUGUGAAAGUCUUAGUAAAGGGAUUUGAAUCUCCUUAUACGUACCGGUAGCAAUAAAUGUCAUCCAAAAGAGUGUAUCCCUAAACUAGCAGAGAAUAUG